rnacentral:lncRNA from 1 species
GGGCGCUUAUUGUUCUGGGGAGAUGCCUCUUCCAGGAGUGGCUUGGGAGGGUCAGAGCUCCUUCCAUUCAGACCAGUCACCCACUUCUCCAGAAAUCGCGUCCCCUUCUUUGCGCCUCUCGUGCCGACAUUCCCUGCAUCGCUCGUCCCUUUCCUGUAUUGCACUGCCCUGUAAACUGGUGAAUAACUGCGUGGGUUCAAAAGCCAUGCUGCCUCUUUUGAUUCCUGGCUCCCCCACAUGACCUGUGAUAACCUUGGACCAACUGUUUGAGGCCGUUUGAGCCUCAGUUUCCCCAUCUGCAAGAUGGGUGCAAGACUAGCACCUCUUCCCAAUCCCGUGAGGAUUCAGGGAGGUGAUGCCAGCAUGAUGGCGGGAACUUGGCGAACCUUUGCACAGAGGUCCGAUCUCUUGCCAUUGCUGUGUCCUGGGCUGACUGCGGGGACAGCAGAGUUCUUAAAAAAUAAUCGCUUUCACAAACGCCAAUAUUUCAGUUGUGCCUCUCCGGUAUAGACAUCUGCUUAUGAAGAGCUAGCAAUACUGGAGGUUCUAGGUAAGACCUGGCUCACGACAGAGGAGAGUGACAGACCAAGGAGGGACUGACACAGAGAGAAACCAGAGCCACAAUUGGGCAGCUCUGUAGGAGAAGCCAUCCCGGACUGGGGAUGCUGGAGCUGGAAGGAAUGGGGAAGAGAUUUCAUGGAGGAAAUUUACCUGCCUUGGCUGCUAGUGGGUGAUAAGCACCAAGGACUGCCGGGGUUCUGAGGAUGUGAAGGUGUAGGGAAGGAAUGACGGAGCCACGACCUCAUCCCGGGGGGAGUCCAUUCGGGGAGAUGCACGUCUCCCUGGAAAAGCUUAGGGCACAGGUGUCCCGAGGAGCUCCAAGUGGGUGGGCUGGGAGGGGAACCCUCUGCGGUCAAAGGUGUGGGAGCCUAGGUGCCUAGACUAGGCUGGGAGGACUGAAUGAAGAGAGCCUCUCAGAGGCAUUCAGAAAACUCUUGCUCUGCGAGCUCAGGUUUCUGUAAGAGUGCAACCCUAAGAACACCUUGCCAGGCACGAGUAACACCUGGGGAGUUAUUAAAACAUUGAUUCCUGGGCUCUGGCCCCGGGAGGUUCUGACUUAGAAGAGGCCCAUGAAUUUGCAUUUCUGACAGACUUCUGGGUGAUGCUGAGCAGCCAGUCCUGAGGACCACACCGUGAGUGGUGCUGCCCUGGACCACACCCAGGCCCUGUCAGCCCCCUGGAUGCUCCUGCUGCGCCCACACCUGCUGCCAGAGGGAUGCCGUGUGGGGCCCGGGCCUCACCUGGACCAGCCGCCGCAGCCUCUCCUGCUGGUCCCACUGGUUAUCUUUGCCAGUCACCAGUGGGGAUUUUUUUGCUGGUGAUGUUCAGACCUUUCACCUCUUCGGGACCCCUCACCCCAAGCCCGUCCAUUGUGGGUGAGACCUGCGGCCAGAGGUCGCGUGAACACACAUGUGGCCUCCUGACAGUUUAUGGCACGGGUGCUGUCUGGGUCUAGCUCCACGUGCCAAGCGCAGGAGAUGAGACAGACCGUGUGCCUUGCUCUCUGCUCUUUCCAAGCUGGUCUAAAAAGGCUCGCAAGCUAUUCCAUAAAGCAUUGCAUCAGGGAACCUUGAGUCAUGCUGCUCUUGGUCAUCCCUUUCAGGUAUUUGCUGUCCUGAUUAAAAUGUGCAGAGGCCUCAUGAGGGAGCUGUCUCCAGACUCUGAGUCAGGGAAUCCAGUUAAUCGAGUUUGUUAGCCUUGAUUGUAAAGUAGGAGUUAAAGGGCCCAGAAUAAGAGCCUGGCAAGAUUGCUUAUGACACAGUGCAUAGAUUUUAGUGCUUGUGUGUGGGGGAUACCCAUUUUGUUUUUAAUAGUGCUAAAAUGUAUGUAGUGUAAUAUUUAUCAUUUUAACCAUUUUAAGUAUAUAAAUCAGUGAUAUCAACUGCAUUUGCAAUUUUGUGUAACCACUAACCAUACCUAAAGCUGUUUUUCUCAUCCUCAAUAUACAUUCUGUACCCAUUAAACAAUAAGCGCUCUCCCCUCCACUCCUUGCAGCCCUGGGUACCUCUGUUCUACUUUCUGCUUCGUGAAUUAGACUCCUGUAUCUCAUGUCAGUGGAAUCAGGCAUAUCUGUCCUCCUGUGUUUUAUGUCACUAAACAGGUUUUCAGGUUCUACCCAUAUGGUAGCAUAUAUCAAAAUCGCUUUCCUUUUCAGGGCUGAAUAGCAUUCCCCUGUGUACAUAUGCCACAUUUUUUUAAUCCGUUCACCGUUGGUGGAUGCUUGGCUCACUUCCCCCUUUGGCUAUUAACUGAAUAAUGCUGCUCUUGACACUAGUGAAUGAAUACCUCUUAGAAUCUCUGACUUCCGUUCUUCUUUUUACAUAUCUGGGCGUCAGGUGCUGGGUCAUGUGGUGCUUGUAGCUCUAACCCUUUGAGAAACUGCCACACUGGAUUCCACAGCGGCUGCACCAUUUUACAUUCCCAGCAGCAGCAUAUUGUCCACAUCCUCCCUAACAUUUGCUGCUGCUGCUGCUGUUGUUGUUGUUGAUAAUAGCCUAUUAGUAGAUGUGAGGUCGCAGACGUGGCUCGGAUCCCGCGUUGCUGUGGCUGUGGUGUAGGCUGGUGGCUAUAACUCCGAUUUGACCCCUAGCCUGGGAACCUCCAUAUGCCAUGAGUGUGGCCCCCAAAAGGCCAAAAAAAAAAAACCCCAAACAUUUUGUCUUGGAGGAUCCAACAGUCCUGAUUUAUGUCACUCACUGGAUGUGUCAGCUCUUAGCACAAACCCUGUGGAUUCCUCCUAAAAUGAAAAUAGGCAGCUACACCCAAGUAAGGUGGCCCCCCCCAACCCCCACCCUUCAAACCACCCCCUGGCUCUCGUAUGUUACGUUUAGUGGCUUUGCAGUGCAUGUCUCUCAGCCAGAGACGCUAGUGGCAAAUGGUUCUCUCUCCAGCGCUGAGUUUAUUGGACAGGCGGUGCAUGCAGAAUUCUGUUUUAUAUGGCGAUUUGGCAUUUGUGCAGAAAAGUACUGCAAGAUUCUGAAGCGUGUUCUUGGGGGUAAAAUCAUAAGGCAUCUGCUGGAAACGGCCGUGACAGAGACGUUUCAACAGAAUCGAACAAAUAAAAGUCAGAACUCAAAAUUGAAUACUGCUGCAUUUUUGUCUAAAUCACCGUGAGCAGAUUGAGAUGUGUGCGUGUGUGUCUUGAGGGACAAAGGCACACGUCCUUCUUUGUGUGUUAAUUGUAGGGGACCGACAGAUGGGAGUGACCGCAUCACCACGUGAUGGCAACUCCUCUUUCUUCCAAGAGAUUUCUCUCCCCUUGGUUUCCCAGCCAGGUCUGACCCUGGACGGGGGCGGCUGGUGGCAGAUAGUCUAACAGCGUGUGCCCUGCCGGAACAGUCUGCUGGCACCACUUUUUAAUAAGGGCUGGGCUCUUGCCUAAGAGCCCAGCAACUUCGGUGCCUCCUCUGCUGCGCCUUCCCCGAACACACCUCGCCCUCGCUAAUAAAUUCCGAGGGCUGACAUUGCCGGAGCCGGCUGGUCUUUGCCCUCAAUUUCAUUGAGAUGGGCCAUUGAAAACUCAUUACAAGCUGUUUAGACUCUGACUUUGACUUUUGCUCGGCAGCGAGCGAAAUUAACAGCUCUUGGAGGUAGCAAAAAAGGCACUCAGCC